rnacentral:lncRNA from 1 species
GUCUACAAAGUUCUGUCUUAUGGGCACCUCCACAUGCUUCACAUUUAGACUGGUUUUGUUGAAUAGUCUCUCCAUAAGAUCCCUACUUUUCUGAUUGCCCGGACCUAUUACGAGAUUUUGCUGUCCUGCUAGAAUUCUAUCCACUAUGAGUAUCAUCAUCCCUGCUCGUCUUCUUUUGUAUUCUAUCUUUUGAAUCUUGUGUUUCCUUCCAGACAAUUUCCAUAUUCUUAGCCCUAUCUACCAAGUCAUCAUAGUUUGUUGAGUGCACUGCGGCCAAACCCCAACGUAAGUGAGGCUUCAAUCCUUCUUCAAAUCUCCUCAUCCGGGACUCUCCAUCUAUGAUGAGGGUGGGAGCAAACCGAGCUAACCUGUCAAACUCUACCUCAUACUCAUCCAUUGUCAUAGUUCCUUGAGACAGAUUUAGAAAUUUCCUCUCUAGCUCCCUAAGGUGACUUGAAG